AUACGGAGGGUGCAAGCGUUAAUCGGAAUUACUGGGCGUAAAGCGCGCGUAGGCGGCUGAUUAAGUCGGAUGUGAAAUCCCUGGGCUCAACCUAGGAACUGCAUCCGGUACUGGUCAGCUAGAGUUUUGGAGAGGUAAGUGGAAUUUCCGGUGUAGCGGUGAAAUGCAUAGAGAUCGGAAGGAACACCAGUGGCGAAGGCGACUUACUGGCCAAAAACUGACGCUGAGGUGCGAAAGCGUGGGUAGCGAACAGGAUUAGAAACCCUAGUAGUCC
rnacentral:rRNA from 1 species